GGGGAAUAUUGCACAAUGGGCGAAAGCCUGAUGCAGCGACGCCGCGUGAGUGAAGAAGUAUUUCGGUAUGUAAAGCUCUAUCAGCAGGGAAGAAGGAUAGAGGUAGUAACUGGCCAUUAUUUGACGGUAAUCAAGCAGAAAGUCACGGCUAACUACGUGCCAGCAGCCGCGGUAAUACGUAGGUGGCAAGCGUUGUCCGGAUUUAUUGGGCGUAAAGCGAGCGCAGGCGGAAAAAUAAGUCUAAUGUGAAAGCCCUCGGCUUAACCGAGGAACUGCAUCGGAAACUGUUUUUCUUGAGUGCAGAAGAGGAGAGUGGAACUCCAUGUGUAGCGGUGGAAUGCGUAGAUAUAUGGAAGAACACCAGUGGCGAAGGCGGCUCUCUGGUCUGCAACUGACGCUGAGGCUCGAAAGCAUGGGUAGCGAACA
rnacentral:rRNA from 1 species